rnacentral:ncRNA from 1 species
UGCGUUAUCAUACUCCAAAAUUAUACAUGCAAGCAUCUACAAAACAGUGAGGCUUCCCUACCAACACAACCCUGUUGACAGGAGUAGGCAUCAGAAACAACAAAUAAUCAACGACGCCAAGUACUACCACACCCACACGGGUACACAGCAGUAUCUAACAUUAGGCCAUAAACGGAAGUUUGACCUAGUCGCGGAGAACGAAGGCCGGUAAAACUCGUGCCAGCUACCGCGGUUAUACGAGGGGCCUAAGAUAACACAAACGGCGUAAAGAUGACCAGAAUAUAUCAAAAAAUUAAGGACGAAAUCCUACCAGCUGUCUAACGCUAAGACCACAGAACAACAUACGCCUUAAUACAGACGAUUUUUUUUAAUCAUGAAAUCUAGGAAACAAACUAGGAUUAGAUACCCUACUAUGCCUAGGCAAAACAAGGCUAACACCACACGCCCGCCAGAUAAGUACGAGCCAAAGCUUAAAACUCAAAGGACUUGACGGCGUCUCACAUCAACCUAGAGGAGCCUGUCCUAUAAUCGAUAACCCACGCUUAACCCAACCACCCCUUGCCAGCACAGCCUAUAUACCGCCGUCGUCAGCUCACCUUGUAAAAGAACAAAAGUGAACACAACAGUUAAUACACUAAAACGACAGGUCAAAGUGUAGCAAAUGGAGUGGAAGAGAUGGGCUACAUUUUCUUAAAUAGAAUAUACGGAAGACCGCCAUGAAAAAGCGCCCAAAGGUGGAUUUAGCAGUAAGACGGAAUAACAUCUUCUUCUGAACAAACGCACUGAGACGCGUACACACCGCCCGUCACCCCCGCCCACAAACCAAAUAAAAUUCUUAAAACCACUAUCUUAUUACAAGGCGGGGUAAGUCGUAACAAGGUAAGCGUACUGGAAAGUGCGCUUGGAAAC